rnacentral:rRNA from 1 species
AGAGUUUGAUCAUGGCUCAGAUUGAACGCUGGCGGCAGGCCUAACACAUGCAAGUCGAACGGUAACAGGAAACAGCUUGCUGUUUCGCUGACGAGUGGCGGACGGGUGAGUAAUGUCUGGGAAACUGCCUGAUGGAGGGGGAUAACUACUGGAAACGGUAGCUAAUACCGCAUAACGUCGCAAGACCAAAGAGGGGGACCUUCGGGCCUCUUGCCAUCAGAUGUGCCCAGAUGGGAUUAGCUAGUAGGUGGGGUAACGGCUCACCUAGGCGACGAUCCCUAGCUGGUCUGAGAGGAUGACCAGCCACACUGGAACUGAGACACGGUCCAGACUCCUACGGGAGGCAGCAGUGGGGAAUAUUGCACAAUGGGCGCAAGCCUGAUGCAGCCAUGCCGCGUGUAUGAAGAAGGCCUUCGGGUUGUAAAGUACUUUCAGCGGGGAGGAAGGGAGUAAAGUUAAUACCUUUGCUCAUUGACGUUACCCGCAGAAGAAGCACCGGCUAACUCCGUGCCAGCAGCCGCGGUAAUACGGAGGGUGCAAGCGUUAAUCGGAAUUACUGGGCGUAAAGCGCACGCAGGCGGUUUGUUAAGUCAGAUGUGAAAUCCCCGGGCUCAACCUGGGAACUGCAUCUGAUACUGGCAAGCUUGAGUCUCGUAGAGGGGGGUAGAAUUCCAGGUGUAGCGGUGAAAUGCGUAGAGAUCUGGAGGAAUACCGGUGGCGAAGGCGGCCCCCUGGACGAAGACUGACGCUCAGGUGCGAAAGCGUGGGGAGCAAACAGGAUUAGAUACCCUGGUAGUCCACGCCGUAAACGAUGUCGACUUGGAGGUUGUGCCCUUGAGGCGUGGCUUCCGGAGCUAACGCGUUAAGUCGACCGCCUGGGGAGUACGGCCGCAAGGUUAAAACUCAAAUGAAUUGACGGGGGCCCGCACAAGCGGUGGAGCAUGUGGUUUAAUUCGAUGCAACGCGAAGAACCUUACCUGGUCUUGACAUCCACGGAAGUUUUCAGAGAUGAGAAUGUGCCUUCGGGAACCGUGAGACAGGUGCUGCAUGGCUGUCGUCAGCUCGUGUUGUGAAAUGUUGGGUUAAGUCCCGCAACGAGCGCAACCCUUAUCCUUUGUUGCCAGCGGUCCGGCCGGGAACUCAAAGGAGACUGCCAGUGAUAAACUGGAGGAAGGUGGGGAUGACGUCAAGUCAUCAUGGCCCUUACGACCAGGGCUACACACGUGCUACAAUGGCGCAUACAAAGAGAAGCGACCUCGCGAGAGCAAGCGGACCUCAUAAAGUGCGUCGUAGUCCGGAUUGGAGUCUGCAACUCGACUCCAUGAAGUCGGAAUCGCUAGUAAUCGUGGAUCAGAAUGCCACGGUGAAUACGCUCCCGGGCCUUGUACACACCGCCCGUCACACCAUGGGAGUGGGUUGCAAAAGAAGUAGGUAGCUUAACCUUCGGGAGGGCGCUUACCACUUUGUGAUUCAUGACUGGGGUGAAGUCGUAACAAGGUAACCGUAGGGGAACCUGCGGUUG